rnacentral:misc_RNA from 1 species
UUGGAAUUCCAUAAAAUAGCUUAACAGCUGUUUCGCGUUGUGCGAAAGUGUCGCCAGCGUUAGGGCGCACAAGGCACCCGAAAAAGAAUAGCCGCAGCCAUCUGCCCCUGAUUUGAUUAAAUAUUUGCUGGCAUGAGCUAUACUACAAAAGGUCACCAUAUAGCGUAGAGGAUUUGACAAGUGGAUUACAAAUACAACAUAUGUACAUAUAUACAUAUAUAUAUCUGGAUCGUGGAAGGAAUACUUCUAAGCCUCUACAAAGAUGCAUUUAAUCUUGCGUGAAAUUCCGAACAAAUUUUUAAAAUCUCAAUCACUCCAGCAACCACCGCACGCGCUUCAGCGAAGCUGUUGCGUUGCUAGCCGCUAACAGCAGAACAAACUGCAAUUCUCUCGCAGAUAGAAUGUUCAGACCAAUCAAGAAUUUCAUCAACUAUAUACAGAAUAAUGCAAGCGGCAGCUCAAUUUUUGGUAAUACUACAACAGGAGCUGACAACGAAACAGAACGUGGCGCUGAAGAAAUCGGCAUCGAAGCAACAAAAGUAAUUUGCAAACAAAGUGAAGUAACAAGAGGUGAAAGCGAGAAGAUUUACGCUAAAGAAAGCAGUAUUUCCAAAGUUAUAAUUAAUCCAAGAGAGCAUAAAGAAAUGAAGCGUAUACAAGUGAAUAAGGUGAAUUGUGUAAAUGGAAAUAGCGACCCGGGGCAAGUGGUUAACGCUAAAGAACUGAAUGGCGUUGGCGGGGACGUUGCCGUAUACGCUGGCGAUGACACCGACGUUGAUAUUGAAUUGCAAAUUAAAAGCAGUGUUAUGCUGCGGGCACCAAUAAAACGUGUAUCUUUGGUGGAAAACCUAACAGACGAAGUGGAUGCAGAUGACGUCGAGAGUUUGGAGCUAAUCCAGGACUCAAUAUGCGAUCAUAGUGAUGGCAUUGAAGUUGAUUCACAAGAUGAAUAUGAUGACUAUCCACGCGAAGGUGCUGAAGCAAUUUCAGUGCUAAGUGAUGAUGGCACUGCUGGUGGUGGAGAAGAUACUGCUGAGGAUUACUUUGUCACGGAGGAGGAAGAUGCUGAAGAAACAUUUUUGAAUUUGCCAAGUUAUCAGGAGCACCGAUUCGAAGACAGUGAAAUCAUCGUACUCAACGAUGUCGAUGUGAACUCCUCCAUUGCUUCCGAUGCGCCCUCCGACGAUCCUCUAGCCAUCGACGACUUUACACAGCCGUCGAUUUCGGCCAUUAAGGAUAGUUCAAAUCCAUUAGAUUCCUCCACCAAUGAUGAGGCUUCAACUAGCGCCGAUUUACUAUGGAUCAAUAUCGAUGAAUUAAAGACAAAUACUACAACGCCAAAUGCAGAAAAAGACUUACAAACCGAGCCGCAAUUAAUACAUACGCCUACAAGCACGCCACAGCGGCAGCUUACGGCUAAUGUAGUCAAAGAGAAGCGCAAUAGCUCCGGCGGCAGCGCAAGCUGCAGCAAUAAUGCAGCAACAACAACACUAAGCACUCAAGGUGAUGAACAUGCGGAAGAGAUACGCAGCGAUGGUUCCGAUUCAGGGCUGGGCAGCGAGACAUCCACGCUCCAGACGACACUGGCCAGCCUGGGAGACACUAGCCACUUGACGCCCUGCGAUAAUAGUGCCACAAAUACGCCCACUGGUGGCAAAACGAAAACAAGCGCAAGUAAUAGCUGCAGCACCGACGACACUGCUUCCAAUUUAACAGUAACAGAUGGUGUGGCAGGCGCUUCCAGCGCAAUUGUGCCUGUUGCUGUCACUGUUGCAUUGCCGCCGCUAGCAGCGGUCGCGAAGCCGUUUCGUUCAAAUUUGAAACGUCGCCUCGAUGAGGAAGAGGCACUUGUCGACGCUGCGCAACAAACUCAGCUCGCAACCACUGGCGGCUCUCAAGUUAAAAAACCUAAGCGUUCCAUUAAUUUCGAAAACGUACAAGUUUACUAUUUUCCAAGACAACAAGGUUUCGGUUGUGUGCCCUCAGCGGGCGGUUGUACGCUGGGCAUGGGUGCACGCCAUAUUGGCUUUAAAACGCUAACACUAGCCGAACAUGCGACAGAGUUGCGGCGCGCGCAUCGCCUACAAUUACAGGAAAUCAACCCACGGGGCUCAUCCAGCGACGACAGUGAGGAGUCCGAGGAGGAUUACCUAAGUGAGGGCAGCGGCUCCGAUUUGGAUGCCGAGUCGAAUGGGUUUCUACAGCCAGUGUCACCGAAACAGCGACGCGCUCUGCUUAAAGCAGCUGGCGUACGCAAAAUUGACGCUGCCGAGAAGAUUGAAUGUCGCGACAUACGAAACUCGCGGGAGGUGUGCGGCUGCGCAUGUGUGGAGUUCUGUGAUCCGGAAACUUGUGCCUGCAGUCAAGCGGGAAUAAAGUGUCAGGUCGAUCGCGCCAUGUUUCCUUGCGGUUGUACUCGCGAUGCAUGCGGCAAUACAGUGGGCCGCGUCGAAUUUAAUCCCACGCGCGUACGCACACAUUUCAUACACACUAUUAUGCGACUGGAGAUGGAAAAUCGUCAACAGCAAAAUCCGCCACUCUACAGUACUGUCAGCAGCUACAGCUUGGCAACCGCCUGUGCCACAACUGCUACCGCUGUGGGUCCACCGCUCGCAAACACCCUACCGCCGACGCCAUCGUACGCCAAUAAUUUACCCGGCAGUUACUAUGCCAUGCAAACACAAUCAAAUUACAGCUCCGGUUAUGCUUCGCCCGCAUAUCCCAGCGAACCGGCAGCCAAUUACUAUCAGCAACAGAGCAGCAGCUCUACACACUACAGUGCUGUGAGCACAACUGAGCAGCAAAGCUGUCAACUAGACACUUUAGAUGCGGCGAAUCUAUUCACCGGUCCCGCUACUGCCACACCGGUGUACGGCGAAAUGGUGCCAGCCUAUAGCAGCGCAGUUGGCACGGCGGCAAGUACUGCCACUGUAAGCGCUUAUCACCAGAAUAACAACUAUUCGGCAGUGCAGCAAACGCAGGUCUCCACUUUCACCGCUUAUCAGCAAACAUCAAGCGCAGCUUAUCUACCACAGCACAGCCAGCAGAGCGGCACUACGACAGCUGCAGCUGCGACCACACACUCUACGCUGCCACCGCCGACCACAUACAGUUCAUGCGCCGUGCCCUCGCUUCCACCAUACGGCACUGCUACCACAACAGCAGCUGCGGCACAGUAUCAAGACACCAGCAGCUAUGCGCUUGUCGGCACCACAGCGCCCAGCUGCAUCAGCAUUGAUGACAGUGGUGGCCGUGAGCUCGUUGAAUGCGCUACAGAAGUUGACAUUGGAAAUGACGAUUGCGGCGCCACUAACACCAGCGAUAACAGCAGCGCUGCCAAAAUCACCACAAUCCAAAUCACUUCCUGCAGCAGCAGCAGCAACAGCAAUAGAACGCUUGCCGGUAAUGAUAGUAUCGGUGACAUCAGUGGCUUCGGCGACAACGGCACUGGCUCUGACAGCAGUUUCAUACAACUUAGCACACCUAUUUCCAGUGCAGCGCGGCUCUCACAAAUCAAUGAUUUACUACUGCAAAAUCGCCAUACAACGGCCACGCUUGUGGCUAUCUCGCAAACGUCUUGUUUGAGCGUUAGUGGUCGCACUAGUACAAGUACGCUCAUAAGCAGCCGCAGCGUUACUACCGAUUGUGAGGAGGAAGAACAAGAAGAUGAAACUGAGUAUGAACUUGAAGAAAAGGUGGCCGAUGAGGUUGCAACAAAAGACGAAAAAACGCUAAUCACAGAGUCACAAUGCUCAGGAGAUGAUGAAAAUGACGGCGAAAAGACAGCGUUGCAACCGGCAGCAGUCGCAGUCGCAGAAACUGAACCGACACCUGCUGCCAGCGAAAAUCUUGACAUCAAUGACGAUACAGUGGAGAAGCCAAGUGGUGGAUCAGCUGUCACUACGUGCGCAGGCAUUGAAACAGCAAAUGCCACGCCUAGCAGUGUUGUUGCAUUAGUCGCUGAUAGCUGCGCAGUUAGUGGUGUUAGCGCUGCUGCAAUCACAACUACUGUCACUGCCAAUACUGACACAAGCGCAGUGCAUUCGGCGUGCAAAUAAAUUGCGAAAAAGGAUGACUUUGUUACAACCAGGCACACACACAUUCAUCUUCACACGCCCGCUAUAAACAAACCAUAUACUUGUAGAAGUACUAAGCGUAAAACUGAAGUAAACGAAGGAAAAGCAGACAGAAAUGCAGAGAAUAAAGGUGAAAUAUAAAUAUAAAUAUAUAUAUUUAAUAUUAAAAAACGAAUCAAAAUAAAUACAAAACAAAACGAAUAUGUAUGCAUAAGCUGACGAGCAAGCAGCCGUAUGAAUGAAUGAAUUUUUUGUGGUAAAGCAGCGGCAGCGUAUUAGCAGCUAGCUCGCUCCAAUGAGUAAUGUUAAUUUCAUGUUUCUGCUUUGUUGCAUAACUUCCAUGAAAACUAAAAACUUAUGUAUAGAAUUUGUAUAAAAACACCUACACAUAUGCUUACACAAUGGAAAAUUGCAACAAAUAUUAAUUAACACUUUUUCUUUUUAAUAUUAACGCAUACAUACUUUAUAUAAUAGUGUUAAUCAAUGUAUAAUACAAGUUAAUAAUAUAUUCAUUUUAAACUAUGCCUAAAUAUGUAUACGCAUACUGCAUAAUAUGUAAUUGUCGUAUGUUCAAACUAAAAUGGGUAUAGUAUAAUUUCCAAAAUUUAUAGUUUUUCUUUUAAUUUUUCAUUCAUUUUCCUUUUUUAUUUAGUGUUUAUUUAAGUUUUACUUGUGUUAAUUUUAAAUUCGCUUAUAACUACUAAAGAUACAGCGACGGAAAUUAUACAUAUAAACAAAGCUUCUGAAAAUAAAGAUGGCAUUCAAAUAAAUUCGGUUUUGCAAAUUAUUGGAAUUGUAGAAAACACCAG